rnacentral:rRNA from 1 species
GCAGCCGUAGGGAAUUUUUCGCAAUGGGCGAAAGCCUGACGGAGCAAUACCGCGUGAGGGAAGAAUGCCUAUGGGUUGUAAACCUCUUUUUUCAGGGAGGAACAAAAUGACGUGUACCUGAAGAAUAAGCAUCGGCUAACUCCGUGCCAGCAGCCGCGGUAAGACGGAGGAUGCAAGUGUUAUCCGGAAUCACUGGGCGUAAAGCGUCUGUAGGUGGUUAAAUAAGUCAACUGUUAAAUCUUGAGGCUCAACCUCAAAAUCGCAGUCGAAACUAUUAGACUAGAGUAUAGUAGGGGUAAAGGGAAUUUCCAGUGGAGCGGUGAAAUGCGUAGAGAUUGGAAAGAACACCGAUGGCGAAGGCACUUUACUGGGCUAUUACUAACACUCAGAGACGAAAGCUAGGGUAGCAAAUGGGAUUAGAUACCCCAGUAGUCCUAGCUGUAAACAAUGGAUACUAGAUGUUGAACAGAUCGACCUGUGCAGUAUCAAAGCUAACGCGUUAAGUAUCCCGCCUGG